rnacentral:tRNA from 1 species
GGAGAGGUGGCUGAGUGGUCUAAAGCAGCGGUCUUGAAAACCGUCGUGUGAAAGCACCGUGGGUUCGAAUCCUACCCUCUCCG